UGCCCCCCUGCACAGCGAACAAGUCCAGACCGACUUAGAGAGAGAUAGAGAGAAAAAGUAAGAGAGAGAGAGAGAGAGAGAGAGANNNNNNNNNNNNNNNNNNNNACGACGACGAACGAACGACGACGACGACGUAGAGAGAGAGAGAGAAGAAGAAGAGAGAGAGAGAGAGAGAGAGAGAGAGGAGGCGAACCAGAGAUGCCGGCGGUGCAGUAGACGAGGACGAAGAUCAUGCCGCCGGCGGCCCAGGCGAUGCCAAGCAGGCCGACGCCGCCGCAGGCAUCGGCCUGCUUCUUGUGGCCGAUGAUGGUGGCCACUAAGACGUAGAGGAAUAGCAGGGUGGCAAUGAACUCUGCGAUCAGGGCUCUGUAGAAGGACCACAGACGGAGCUCCCCCAAGUCGAAGAGCGGUGCCGGCGGCGGAUCGCUGUAGUCCCUCGCCGCCUGCUGCGCCGACUCGACGCUCACCUCCUUCGUCAUCUCUGCGCUCGCUUCCCUCUGACACGACGACGAAGACCUCUUUCUUCUUCUUUUCCUUCUUCC
rnacentral:lncRNA from 1 species